GAUAAGCUGGGCUCGGGCCUGUGAACCCCAGGCCGCUGAAGGAGAACACGCGAACUUAGCUGCCCACCAGGCCAGCCCCUCUACCCGGGCCUUUUUAUAUUCGCUAUGGCCAGUCACAAGGGCAUCGGUCUCCGAGAAUCUCUGAAGUGUCCUCACAGAAGAGAACAAUGGCUCUGAAGUGCUACCACAGGAGAUCCCGAGUGGGACAAAAGCUGAUACUUGGAAGCUGGAGGUGGAUCAUAACAGAACUUCUUCAGGGGAGCGCUCUGUCUCUGCCCUUCAGUGACGAAGCGUGUUCUUCAGGAAUUUGCCAGAUUGUGGGCGAGUUUGCCUGGUGUCAGAGGCAGCGGGAUUUUUCACAUCUUUUCCUCAUCGUCAUGGACACUGACUGGAGUUGAUUUCAUCUGAACCUUUUCAUCCUGAGGCUAGAGCUGAUUCUGCUGGUAAUCCAGCUAUGCCAUUCGCUUGUUAAAAAUGCU
rnacentral:lncRNA from 1 species